rnacentral:lncRNA from 1 species
UCAACCCUUGACUGGUUGCAACAAAAGAUAUCCUUGCAAGGUGUGAAAUCUCCCUGCUGUUGAUUCUCCUAACUCUUCAGCCUUUACCACAACACACCAAGCCCCCUCAUGCUCAGUUGCUUGAAAAAUACUCAUGGACUAUGCCAGAUACACAACAGACUGAUGUUUGGCAUGAUGAUGCAGAGUUGAUUGUAUUGCUCCAGUCAUUGGUGUUAGCCUGUCAGGGUCGCGAUACCCGUGCUCUUACUACAUUGAGCCAACACCUUACACCACUUUUAAGUGCAGAACAUCUUCAUUUAUUGCAUAUCCUUGUUACUGAGAUGAACAGGACCUAGAUAGACUUGAUUAUGAAAUAAUAGAAUUUCAGAAAGGUUAGUAAUAAUAGUAAGAUUUAGUAUUCAAAGACUUUUGAUAUACUGAAGAACACUCAUUUACACACACAUCCACAUCCACAUGCAUAUUGUUACUUCAAGAAGAGUUUGUUUAGUGUCCAAAUAGAAAUAAAAAAUAUUAUUUGUAGAGUUUGAAGUAAUUGAAUUAUUUAAGUCCUAUUUCCUUCACCAUAUUGGAUUCUUAUAUUUAUUGUGGCUGAUACACAUACAUUGCACAUUCCUUCUUUAUAUAAAAUUAAUUAUUGAUAUGCUAGUUGUUGAGAAAUUGUGAUAUAUUUAUUUCAACAUAUUUUUAUCAGAAAAUUUAUGUCUAUGAUAUUAUGAAAAGAACAAAUAAAUCCUAUCCAUAGA